UAUGUAAUUAUUAAUAUUAAAAUCUCUUAAUCAGAUUUGAUUGAUUAAUUAUAUACGCUGGUAAAUCUAUAACCCUUAUAAAAGCAACAACAUCAAGUUUGGAACAGUAAAUUAACGUGGAAUACCCGUUUUACCCUUACUCCUUUGCCACGUUUGUCCUCCUUUCUUUGCCAUCUGCUAUCUUUCUCCUCUCCCUUGGUGAUGGCGCCCGCUUUCUCCUCUUCCUCAACAAUGGCGUCCGAAAAAACUCACCAGCCCUGAAAAACUCACCAUUCGCCUGUCUUCUUUCCUUCUCAUCCUCUCACUAACCAGCCAUGGGAUUCGAAUUCAAAGCAAGAAAAAACGAAAAUAACAUUUUGAUGGCGGGGGUAGGCGAUCUUUUAAUGGCGGGGGUAGGCGAUCUUUUGAUGGCGGGGGUGGAUCUUUCUUUUUCUUUUGAAUUGCCAUAAACGAGGCAGAGGAUAGGUGCAAUUGUAGGCGAGACGGGUUUGUGUCGACCUCUCCCUCAUUUUUUGCAGUUCAGAAGAAAAGGUCCCUACGAAAUCCCACCGUUUGAAGCAGGAUGGUGGAUUAUUUGUCCUGUUAUGUUGGUACUUUGAUUUGUCAACCAAAUUUUUGGGGUUUCGAUUUUAGGGUUUUAGUUUGGUUCGGUUGAGAUCUUCUGCUUCGUCAAGCUUAGGGUUGAGGAGAAGUAGUAAUGGCGGUAGUCCUGGGUCACAGCUCGGUGGGAGUAGCCCUAAGACUAAGCUUUUGACUGUUGGUGAGAUUAUGAGAGUUCAGAUGAGAGUCUAUGAGAUUGUUGAUUCUAGAAUUCGACGAGCUUUUCUAAGGAUCGCUGCUUCUCAGGGCAUGGGUGAUAUGAAAGCAAUAUCAAGCUUGGAUUUGGAAGGAGUGGCUGUGUAGUUGUCCAGGGGUUUUAAGAAUGGAUCAGGAUCCAGAAACUUAACAAUCAUCAACGGCUACAAAACAAUGCAAUCAUGAAUCAGAUUCUUGGGUUGAAAAAUCUUCAACUUACUGGAGGAGAUAAUCAGAAAAAUCAUUGCAUCAUAAUGGAGAAUAUGUUACACCCUUCUCCAUCCACAUCACUUCAGGAGUAUUAGUCAAUGACAGACUCGAGCAGCAAUGCAAGGAACUCAAUUGUCUCACUAAUGAGCUUCAGAGCUUAGACAACUCAAGUCAAGUGUUAAUGAGGGAAGAUUAAUUUGUGUUGCAGAGAUGAUUGUUGCCGCUUACUUUUUGGAUGCUUUAAGCGGUAAAGCUUGCCCUACUGCCGAUGAUGUCAAGAAAAAUCUUGGGCAGAUCGGCAGAGUUGGAGCAGCAACAAAUCACGAUGAAGAAAUCACUAAACAAAAAUGAAACGUCUCCAUGGAUCCAUUAUGUCUAGGUUUUAGGGUUCCCAAUUCAUUGUCGUCCCCGCAACAAAAAAUGGAUGUAUGGAUGUCAUUCAUUUCCCUGAGAGAGCAGGAGGUCUCUUUCUAAUUCAGGCAUUCAGUUAGUGAGGCUGAUAAAGAGGCAACACAUAGUCGACCAGCAACAACUCUCUCCGUGAUUAAUGCCCUACAGUGGUGCCUAAGCAAGUGGAGUUGGAUUAGGCGGCGGUAGAGGACAACACCGAGGAGGCUUUGGAGGUUACAUUUGAGGAGUGAUCUCUUUCACAGACGUCUUCCUUUUGCCGAGAAUGCUCAUCCACGCUACAAAUGCGUGAAAGUUACUAAGUGACGAAGUUAUGUAUCAUGGCAAUAUGCAUCUACACUUUUGGAAGAAGUCCUUAUUAUGUAACACUGUUUUAGAACUUAAACUACCCAUUACUCCUUUUGGGUCAUUUGUACUUUAGAAAACUCGAUGGAUGUCUCCGAUUAUUUUCAUUCCAUAAUUAGGCUCCUGAUUUGCAUAAUAUCUUGGAAGAUAGAUAUAUAUAACUUGGGGGACCACUGUGUUAUCCUUCAGAAAGGUGGCUUUUGCUACCACUUCUGUAUUACUGCUUCUUCUGUCUUACCGAUUCUUGAGCAUUCAACUUAUUGACAACUUGAAGGACAUGUGUUUUGCUUCAGUGUUGUAUUCAAUUACUCUGCAUUUACAUUAUCAUGGACUGCUUUGUAUUCAA